AAUGCUAUAGCUGAGUCAAAUGGUGGUAAUAUUCCAAGUUUCUGAGGAAUCUCCAUACUGCUUUCCAUAAUGGUUGCACCAAUUUGCAUUCCACCAGCAAU
rnacentral:pre_miRNA from 1 species